GUGAGAUCCUGCAUGUUUUGACUGGAAUGCCAGGCUUAACGUUGCUCAGAAGUUGCUUCUAUGAGGAUGUCUCCCAGCAGCUGUCGGUGUUUCCAAUGAGUCAUUGCCAGCCCCUGCAAUGAGCCUCUCAGGCUGAGUGCCUUCAUUUUGAGAGCUGCUCGCUGCCUGUUGUUGUUUCAGUUGACGGCCCACUGCUGUGUGCAGAGUUCACCAGCCACUGUGAUGUGCAGUGCAGCAGCUGACCUGCCUGCCCUGUGGUUUUCUAAUCCCAUCGAGGGGACGUCUUCGAUGUUCUCACCAAGACUGCACAACAACAGUGCUGGGUGGACCACAUCCUCCCUCAUGUUUGGUGCCACCAGUUUUAUAGAUUUUGGCUAGUGUGGGUGUGUGGUGGUUUUCGUUGGUGUUUGCGAUGCAUCUUCCUGGUGCUCAAGUCUGUCGAGCACUAUUUCUUGUGUUUAUUUGCCAUCAUUUGGCGAAGUGUUCAAAUCCUUUGACCGGUGUUUCACCAAGUUGUUUUAUUAUGAAAUUUUAGGGGUUAUUCUGGAUGUCAGCACUUGGAUAAAUAUUUGAGAAUAUUUUUUGCAGUAAGUGACAUCAUUUUAUGUGGAUGAACAGAAGAUUUUAAUUUUGAUAAAGUCUAAUGGAUAUAUGUGAUGUUAGCGUAUUUUGAAUGCAUACAUGUGUAUAUUUAAUGCAUUCUUUUAUGACGAUUGUGCACUUCAUGUGAAAUGGGGCAACCUUGCCUCGCCCUCCCGGAGGCCCCUGCUUCUCUGACCUGUGGGUGUCAUAGGCACUUCGCUUACUGACACCUUACGGCAUGGUUUCUUUUGCUCUAAGCCUGCACGUGCGUUUUAAAGGUAAUUUCCUCCGUUAGAGAAGUCACAUACACUCACCCUGCUGUUUGCCAUUUCUGGAGCUCUUUAUUUCCUUCUUCAUAUCUGCAUUUCCCUCUGGAAUCAUUUCCAUUCAGCCUGAAGAACUCUUCUGCCUGGGACUCCACCCUCUUUUCUAGCAGCUGGGCUCAUUGGGAGCUCUGUCCUCUGGUGGGUCUGGCCAGGGGACGCUGGGUUUUCUAUUAGGGUUUCAGUUGGCCCGUGUGGUGCCAAUGUCAAUGUG